AGCAGUGGCCGGAGGAGGCGAGCAGGGGCUCGGGCAGCUGCUUGAACAAGUUCCGCAGGGUGCUGAGCUCGCGCGACAGCUGCUCCACCUUCUUCUGCAGCCGCUCGUUCUCGGCCGUGAGCUCCAGGACCUUGUGCUGCGUCUCCAGGUUGCGCAUCUUGGCCUUGUCGCGGCUCUUGCGCACGGCGAUGUUGUUGCGCUCGCGCCGGAUCUUGUACUCGUCGCUGUGCUUGUCCACGGUCUUCUUGGCCUUGCUCUUGACCUGCGAGGGCGCCGGCGCGGCCCCCGCGUAGCAGGCGGUCGGGGGCGCCUUGGCGUCAGCGGGGCUCGGCGUGCCGGGCGGGCUGGACGAGGAGGACGUGGAGAGGCUCCCGCUGCUGCCGCUCGGCACCGCCUGGUAGCCGAGUUCUUGCCCCCGUAGUCGUCGGAGAAGAGGUCGGAGAGGAAGUCGUGGUGCUGCCCGGAGGAGGCGGGCGCGGGGGCGGGCGCGGGCGGAGCCGCCUCGAAGGUGUCCGUGGCCGUGGCGGGCGCCGGGGCCUGCGGCGCGCCCAGCGGCUCCAGGUCCCCGGCUUUAGAAAGAAGACUUGACGCCUGUGACGACUCCCCUCUUAAGCCACAGACAAUAUGAGGACCCCGGGGGUCGGCGCGACCGGGCAGGAUCGCGCCCCGCUUGGGGCUGGACCCUGGUCCACGGAGCCCCGCCCCUAGCCCCGCCCACCACACCUGCCGCCUGCUCGAGGCUUGGACACGCCCGGGUCUUCUCUUGCCCCGCGCUGCGCCACCCGACCUGGGCCCUGGGAUGGGGCAGGGGCGGGGGGUGCUCGGCCCUGCCACACUGUGUGACCUUGGGAAGAUGCUUUUGCUGCUGCCAUUUCACAGACGGGAAAGCGACAACGGCCCGCCUGGACUUGAACACAGGCCCAAGGCCUUCUGACCACUUGCCCGCCUCUGCUGGUCUUGCUGUCUGUCCCCACGGCCUUCACUACUGUGUCCCUGGUGCCUAGAACAGAGCCUGGUACAUAGAAGGUGCUCGAUGAAUGCUUUUCCCUAUCCCAUUUUCAAGAGGAGAAAACUGAGGCGAUUUGCCAAGGGGAGAUCCACGUGGCUGCUUUGACAGAGAGUGUUCUGCAAAAGGGCUUAGAAAUCAGCCAGCAGGUGGCAGGUUCUGGGACUGCAGGAGCCAUUCACAUGCGUGAAGAUCCGCUGGGCGCCCUUGCUCUGGGAUCAGGAAAGGCCGGUGCCAUGGAUGUGAUAGAUGCACACAGGGCAUCAGCAGGCCGCCGAGAGGAACCAGAGUGUCCAACGAACAGAAAACAGUGCUCAACCUUCACAUUUAUCGAAUGUUCCUUGGCACAUGCUGUAAUUCUGGCCCUAAAGACACAUUCAUGGACAAGACAAGCAAUUCCUGUUCUCGUGGAGCUGAAAUUCUCCUGGGGGAAGACAAGCACUAAACAAGAUCAAUGAUUAAAGUAUAGAUUGUAUUAGAUUCUGGUCAGCACUAUGGAGGAAAAUACAGCAGGGGAGCAGAGCAGGAGUUCUGGGAGAUUUGAUUUUUUGUUUUCUGGGGUUUUUUGUUUGUUUGUUUUUUGAGACAGGGUCUCACUGCUGGAGUGCAGUGGCACGAUCUCUGCUCACUGCAGCCUCUGCUUCUUGGGCUCAGGUGAUCCUCCCACCUCAACCUCCCAAGUAGCUGGGACCACAGGGGCAUGCCACCACACCCAGCUGAUUUUUUAAUGUUUUGUAGAGAUCAGGUCUCAUUAUAUUGCCCAAGCUGGGGGAGUUGAUUUUAACUUUAUGUUAGAGUAGUCAGGGAAGACCUCACUGAGGUGACAUUUAAGCAAAAACCUGAAUGUGGUGAAGCAGGUAUCUGGGGGACCUUGGACCACACAAAGGGAACAGCAAGUGCAAAGGCCCUGAGGUAGGAGCACGUAGUUGUGGUGAUGACGGAGAGUAGCAGGAAUUUGUGUCAUAGAAAUAGUGGGGGCUGGCCAGGCACAGCGGCUCAUGCCUGCAAUCCUAGCACUUUGGGAGGCCGAGGUGGGUGGAUUACUUGAGGUCAGGAGUCUGAGACCAGCCUGGCCAACAUGGUGAAACCCCAUCUCUACUAAAAAUUAAAAAAAAAAAAAUGGCCAGGCAUGGUGGCGUGCAUCUGUAAUCCCAGCUAUUCAGGAGGCUGAGACAUGAGAAUCACUUGAACCCGGGAGGCGGAGGUUGCAGUGAGCCGAAAUUGUGCCUCUGCACUCCAACCUGGGUGACAAAGCAAGACUCUGCCUCCAAAAAAAAAAAAAUGGAACAUGGAAACAUGGAAUGGGAGAAAAUAUUUGCAAAUCAUAUAUCUGAUAAGGGGUUCAUAUCCAGAAUACAUAAAGAACUGUUACAACUCAACAGCAAUAAAAACAACUCAAUUAAAAAUGGGCAAAGGACUUGAAUAAACAUUUCUCCAGAGAAAACUGUGAAUGGCUAAUAAUCACAUGAUAAGAUACUCAACAUCACUAACCAUUAAGGAAAUACAAACCAAAACUGCAAUGAGGCGCAACACUUUGGUGGAUCACCUGAGGUCAAGAGUUGGAGACCAGCCUGGCCGACACGGUGAAACCCCGUCUCUACUAAAAAUACAAAAAUUAGCUGGGCGUGAUGGUACGUGCGUAUAGUCCCAGCUACUUGGGAGGCUGAGGCAGGAGAAUCACUUGAACCUGGGAGGUGGAGGUUGCAGCAAGCCAAGAUCACGCCACUGCACCCCAGCCUGGGCAACUGAGUGAGACUCCAUCUAAAAAACAAACAAAACGCAAUGAGAAGAGAGGAUUUUGAAUGUUCCCGACACAAAGAAAUGAUAAACGCUUGAGGUAAUGGAUAUCCUAAUUACCCAGAUUUGAUUAUUACACGUUGUAUACAUGUAUUGAAAUAUCAUUUUGUAACCCAUGAACAUGUACAAUUAUGUGUCAACUAAAAAUAAAAGGAAUAAAACACAAUGAG
rnacentral:lncRNA from 1 species